rnacentral:lncRNA from 1 species
AUUUCCCCCACUUCUAGAGAGUUAGGUAUUAUUACCCAGUUUGCACGGAAUAACUUGAUUUUGGGGUUUUCUUGUUUCAGUUUCAGCUGCUAAAGGCAUUCCAUCUCCAACCCUUCAUCAAAUAACAGGUUAAAAACCAGCUCCAAAUCCUCUCAUCAAAUUUGUAUUAAAUGAAGAGAGACUCAAAUUUGAUGGGGAAAAAAUAAGAGCAA